CCUACGGGAGGCAGCAGUGGGGAAUAUUGCACAAUGGGGGAAACCCUGAUGCAGCGACGCCGCGUGAGUGAGGAAGUAUUUCGGUAUGUUAAGCUCCAUCAGCCGGGAAGAAAACGACGGUCCCUGACUAAGAAGCCCCUGCUAACUACGUGACAGCAGCCGCGGUACUACGUAGGGGGCAAGCGUUAUCCGGAUUUACUGGGUGUAAAGGGAGCGUAGACGGCUAAUCAAGUCAGAAGUGAAAACCCAGGGCUCAAACUUCGGACUGCUUUUGAAACUGAGGAGCUAGAGUGCAGGAGAGGUAAGCGGAAUGCGUGGUGUAGCGGUGAAAUGCGUAGAUAUUAGGAGGAACACCAGUGGCGAAGGCAGCUUACUGGACUAUAACUGACGUUGAGGCUCGAAAGCGUGGGGAGCGAACAGGAUUAGAUACCCCAGUAGUC
rnacentral:rRNA from 1 species